UUUGUAGCCUCGUUUGAAUGUCACGGUUACGCACAUUUGUACGGAAUGGGGCUCGUCUUUGAAUGCAGACCCUGAGGGGCAGUCAAUUCCCAGCUCCCCAUCCUGCACCCCUAACACCCCAACACUGCGCUGCAGCGACAGCUCCGAGCUCAACCCCAACUCCAACCUGAACAUCAACCUCAACACCAGCCUCAAUGCCAGCUUCCCACCAGCCUUCAGCAGCUCCACAGGUACGACUCCCAGCUCGCCAUUCUCCAGCCACCCAGAAUACCCCACUUUCCAAGUGUGCUCGGGCUCUUGGAGUGACGAGUGCACCAUCUGUUAUGAGAACGUGGUGGACACGGUGCUGUACGCCUGUGGUCAUAUGUGUCUCUGCUACGCCUGUGGCCUCAAACUGAAGAAGAUGGCCAACGCCUGCUGCCCGAUCUGCAGGAGGACUAUCAAAGACAUUAUAAAGACCUACCGGAGCACGUAGGAUCGGCCUGGCUGUGUAACACCGUGGCUCAUUCACCGAGAUCAUCAAAGAAAACAUUGAGGCCUAUCAGUGCAUGUAGGGCUGACCUGUCUGUGUCACCUAUGGCUCAGCUACAGGAGGUUGUUCAUCAAAGACCACCAGAGACAUAAUUCAGUCUUAUUGGAGCAUGUAGGUUUGGCCUGUCUCAGUAUGGCUCAGCAACACUGAGAUUCAGCAUCAUCCAGUUGGACCGUCAAAUAUGUCAGAAAAACAUGUUGGGGCAUAAAGGGUUGGCAUUUCACCAUGACCUGUCUACUCUACAGGGGAGGCUUCUGAGAGGCGGACGGUUUAUACUAAUGGCUGGAAUGGAGUAAAUGGAAUGGCAUCAAUUGGGGAGCAUGGGCUU